UCCCUUGUUUUGCAAGAAGAACGUCAACGUGAAGUUACCUCGCUCAAUGCUCCUGCUGUGGAGCCUACUGCUCUACUCAACCACAACAAUCAACCUACUACUCGCUCUAAGUCUAAAAAAGGUGCUUCACAUUCAACCUCUAAACACGAGCGCCCUUUCUGCAAUCAUUGUCAUAUUCAUGGCCACACGACUGAUCGUUGUUACAAACUUCAUGGCUAUCCUCCUGGACAUCGACUUCAUCAACCAUCUUCAGUUAAUCAAGUUUUAGGUACUGAUGUUACUACUACCACACCUCAACUUCAUUUCACCAAAGAGCAAUGCGAACAACUUCUUGAUCUUCUCAAUACCUCCUCUCCACAGCCUAUGGUUAAUCACGCUGUUACAGGUAGUUCAGAGCCUUCUUCUUCACAGCCUUCCACCAAUCUCUCAGGACCAACUGUCAUGGAGGACAAUUGGUUUGGCUAAGCGGCUUCAUGGCCUUUAUCAUUUGCUACCACCCUUUUCAUCUCGCACAUACUCUGCUUCUGUUUCUGCUUCUUCAACAACUUUAUGGCAUAGACGUUUAGGAAACCUUUCUUUUUCUCGUUUAUCAUCUUUGAAUAAUGAUGUACUCAAUAUUUCUAUUUCAAAACAUGAGCAUUGUAAUGUUUGCCCCUUAGCAAAACAACAACGUCUUUCUAUUCCUAUCAGCAAAAUUUCUUUUACUUUCUCAUUUGAACUAUUGCAUUGUGACACAUGGGAACCAAUGCCCCUUGCUUUUCACAAUGGUUCCAAAUAUUUUUUAACUAUAGUUUAUGACUUCACACGUUGUACAUGAGUCUAUCUCAUGAGUCACAAAUCACAUACUCGUUCUUUAUUAUCUUUUUUCAUUAAACUCAUUGAAACCCAAUUCUCUUCCAAAGUUAAAAUUAUCCCUAGUGGCAAUGGCUUGGAAUUUGAUAUACAAUCUUUCUUUGCUGACAAUGGUAUCAUUCAUCAACGUAGUUGCAUUGCUACACCACAACAAAAUAGUGUAGUUGAAUGCAAACAUCAACAUCUCCUAAAUGUUGCUUGUGCACUUCGGUUUCAUUCUCACUUACCCAUGCAAUUCUAAGAUGAUUGUAUCCUUAUAGCUACUUACCUUAUCAAUCGUGUUCCCACACCUCUACUCUCUGGUCGUUCACCAUUUGAAGUUAUUUUUAACUAUAAGCCAAUCAUUUUCGAGUCUUUGGUUGCCUCUAUUAUGCCUCUACCAUUGCUCAUAACAGGUCCAAGUUUGACCCACAUGCCCAAGCUUGUGUCUUCCUUGGAUAUCCAUUUGCUACUAAGGGCUACAGGGUUCUUGAUUUACAAACCAGGCAAACAUUUAUAUUAAGAGAUGUUAUUUUUCACGAAUGUACGUUUCCCUUUGCAGCUGCAAUUUCUACUACAAGUCUACCAGAAUACAAGAGUCCACCUGUCUUGCCAAAUCCAAUUGUUUCCAUUGAUAUGCCUACCCCUCAGCCUUCUUUAUCUAUCUCACUUCCCACUAACUAAUCCAUCUCACGUCAUUCCACUCGUGCCUGUCAUCCACCAGGAUAUUUACAAGACUACCACUAUCAAUUGGCUAUGAUGUCACGCCAAACCAACUCUUCCAUCCAGUAGGGUUCCACAAAGUCAGACUUUCCAUGAGGUUGUGAAACACCAACACUGGCGAGAUGCCAUGGCUGCAGAGAUUAAGGCAUUGGAAGACAAUCAUACAUGGACUCUCAUUCUUUUACCACUUCACAAGCAGGCAUAUGGAUUUGGAGUCUCGUUGUAACCACGGUUUUUCUCCACCACAAGUGAAGGUUAUCAAUAAAAUUGGAGUACCGUCUUCUUCUUAAAAAAAAGGGUCAUCGGUUGCAAGUGGGUAUACCACAUUAAGCAUAAAUCUGAUGGCAGUAUUUAACGCUACAAAGCUCGACUAGUGGCCAAGGGAUACACACAACAAGAGGGGCUCAAUUACCAUGAGACAUUUUCUCUAGUUGUCAAACUUGUAACUGUCAGAUGUUUACUUGCUAUUGCUGCUGCACAUAAUUGCUACCUUUGACAACUCAAUGUUAACAACGCAUUUAUACAUGGGGAUCUUCAUGAAGAAGUAUACAUAACUCUUCCUCCAAGGUUCACUCGACAGGUGGAGCACUCAGUUUGUGUCCACAACAAAUCCUUGUAUGGUCUAAAACAAGCUUCUAGGUAACAAUCUCAGUACUAUUGAUGAGCUAAUAAAUCAUCUAAAUACUCAUUUCAAGCUCAAAGACCUUGGUGAUCUUAAAUUCUUUUUUGGCCUUGAGGAUGCACAAUCAAAACAAGGAUCAAGUGUUAGGGAACGUGAUCGCAAAGGGGCUUAAAGUAGAACUAUGGGGUCCUUUUUCAAGAAUGUAUUUGUGUUUGUUACGACUCAAUUUUCUGCUUGUAUUAAAACCCUUCGUUUUGACUCUGGGGGGGAAUAUAUGUCCCAUGAGUUUCAGGAUUAUCUCAAAACUCGAGAUUUUCUCUCCCAACAAUCAUGUCCUUACACCCCUUGGUAAUUCUUCAAUCUCUUGGAAAUCAAAUAAACAAAGCACAGU